AAUAUUGGACAAUGGGCGAAAGCCUGAUCCAGCCAUGCCGCGUGUGUGAAGAAGGUCAUAGGAAUGUCCCGCACUUUAAGUUGGGAGGAAGGGCAGUAAGUUAAUACCUUGCUGUUUUGACGUUACCGACAGAAUAAGCACCGGCUAACUUCGUGCCAGCAGCCGCGGUAAUACGAAGGGUGCAAGCGUUAAUCGGAAUUACUGGGCGUAAAGCGCGCGUAGGUGGUUCGUUAAGUUGGAAGUGAAAGCCCCGGGCUUAACCUGGGAAUUGCUUUCAAAACUGACGAGCUAGAGUACGGUAGAGGGUGGUGGAAUUUCCUGUGUAGCGGUGAAAUGCGUAGAUAUAGGAAGGAACACCAGUGGCGAAGGCGACCACCUGGGCUAAUACUGACACUGAGGUGCGAAAGCGUGGGGAGCAAACAGG
rnacentral:rRNA from 1 species